UACGUAGGUGGCAAGCGUUGUCCGGAUUUACUGGGCGUAAAGAGCGCGCAGGCGGUCGUUCAAGUCGCGUGUGAAAGCCCCCGGCUCAACUGGGGAGGGUCACGCGAUACUGAUCGACUCGAAGGCAGGAGAGGGUAGUGGAAUUCCUGGUGUAGCGGUGAAAUGCGCAGAUAUCAGGAGGAACACCGGUGGCGUAGGCGGAUCUCUGGGCCAUUACUGACGCUGAGGAGCGAAAGCGUGGGGAGCGAACAGG
rnacentral:rRNA from 1 species